rnacentral:tmRNA from 1 species
GGGGCCGACCGGUUUCGACAUGGGUUGCGAAACUUCAGGUGCGUACCGAGGUGCAGGUUCCCUCGUUAAACCAACUUGCAAACUUAUAGUUGCCAACGAAGACAACUACGCUCUAGCGGCUUAGGCUGCUGAACCCUGAUCGGCUUGUGCUGAUGCGAACGGUCAGGGGUAGCGCACAUCAGCUAGCGGGAUACACGUGUCUGGGGUGUAUCUUGCGAAUCGCUACCGGGCUGGCUGCACGCUUUCCCUGCCCGUCGGGUUAGCGCGCGGUGAGAACAAUAGACGUGGCUACGUACGUAGAUCUUGAGGCGUAGGACUUAUGGACGGGGGUUCGAUUCCCCCCGGCUCCACCA